rnacentral:rRNA from 1 species
AAGUAAUUAUUUAUUAAAAUUUUAAAUUAAAAUUCAAGUUAAAUAAAAAAAUUAUAUUUUUAUUAUAAAUUAAGAAAAAAUUUUUUUUUAUUAUAGUUAAUAGUAUUGAGAAAGAACAUUUUUAUUUGUAAAAAAGAAAAAUUAAAAUUUUGUACCUUGUGCAUCAGGGUUGAUUAAAAAAUAAUUUUAUAUUAAAUAUUCUCGAAUUUAAAAGAGCUAAUUAAUUAUAAAUUUUAUUGUGAAAUAAAUAUUUAAAAUAUUUAAUUAGAAAUGAAACGUUAUUCGUUUUUAAAUUUAUCUAGUUUUUAAAUAAAUAAAUUUAAUUUAGCUAUUUUUUGGUAAAAAUUUGAUUUUUUAAAUUUUUAUAAAAAAUAAGUAAUUUUUUUGGGGAAAAGCUUGAGAAAAAAAAAUUAUAAUAAAAUAAGAAUUUUAAUAAAUUAUAGGAUUAUAAAUUUCUAUUAAUAAAAAAAUGUUAUAAUUAAUUAUUAGAAAAAUAUUAUUUUUAUUUUAUUUAAAUUUUUUAUUUAAAUAUAUUUUUUAAUAAAAAAAAAUUAGUAAUAAUGAUUAAAUUAGUAUAAAUUAAUGUAUAUUUAAAUAUUUAAUAAAGGUAAGUUUAAGGAACUCGGCAAAUAUAUUUUUCACCUGUUUAUUAAAAACAUGUCCUUUUGAUAAUAAUUUAAGGUCUAAUCUGCCCACUGAGAAUUUAAAUGGCCGCGGUAUUUUGACCGUGCAAAGGUAGCAUAAUAAUUAGUUUCUUAAUUAGAAGCUGGAAUGAAAGAUUGAAUGAGAAAAUAACUGUCUCAAAUUUAUUUAAUUAGAAUUUUAUUUUUAAGUUAAAAAGCUUAAAUAUUUUUAAAAGACGAGAAGACCCUAUAGAGUUUUAUUUAAUUUUUUAUUAAGAAAAAAUUGUUUUUAAUUUUUUUAAUAAAAAAUUAAAUUUUGUUGGGGUGAUGGAAAAAUUUAAUAAACUUUUUUUAUAUUUUAACAUAAAUUUAUGAUUAAUUGAUCCAAAAUUUUUGAUUAUAAGAUUAAAUUACCUUAGGGAUAACAGCGUAAUUUUUUUUGAGAGUUCUUAUCGAAAAAAAAGAUUGCGACCUCGAUGUUGGAUUAAAGUUAAAUUUUGGUGUAGAAGCUAAAAAUUUAGGUCUGUUCGACCUUUAAAACUUUACAUGAUCUGAGUUUAAACCGGUGUAAGCCAGGUUGGUUUCUAUCUUUAAACAAAUAAAAUAUUUUAGUACGAAAGGACCAAAUAUUUAUUAUAAUAAUUUGUAUUGAAUAAUAAUAAAUU